rnacentral:rRNA from 1 species
GUAGAAUGAACUGAUCGGAUUUCUGGGCGUAAAGAGCGCGUAGGCGGUUCGAUCAGUCGGAGGUGAGAUCCCUCGGCUCAACCGAGGACCCGCGUCCGAUACUGUCGAACUUGAGUGCAGGAGAGGAGAGCGGAAUUCCCAGUGUAGCGGUGAAAUGCGUAGAUAUUGGGAGGAACACCGGUGGCGAAGGCGGCUCUCUGGACUGCUACUGACGCUGAGGCGCGAAAGCUAGGGGAGCAAACGGGAUUAGAUACCCCGGUAGUCCUAGCCGUAAACGAUGGGCACUAGGUGUGGGAGGUAUCGACCCCUUCCGUGCCGCAGCUAACGCAUUAAGUGCCCCGCCUGGGGAGUACGGCCGCAAGGUUGAAACUCAAAGGAAUUGACGGGGGCCCGCACAAGCGGUGGAGCAUGUGGUUUAAUUCGACGCAACGCGAAGAACCUUACCAGGGCUUGACAUCCCGCGAACUCCUCCGAAAGGAGGGGGUGCCCGCAAGGGAGCGCGGAGACAGGUGGUGCAUGGCUGUCGUCAGCUCGUGUCGUGAGAUGUUGGGUUAAGUCCCGCAACGAGCGCAACCCUCACCCCUUGUUGCUAUCAGGUCAGGCUGGGCACUCUAGGGGAACUGCCCCGGUCAACGGGGAGGAAGGUGGGGACGACGUCAAGUCAUCAUGCCCCUUACGUCCUGGGCUACACACGUGCUACAAUGGCCGGUACAAAGGGAUGCAAGACCGCGAGGUGGAGCUAAACCCAAAAAGCCGGUCUAAAGUUCAGAUUGGAGUCUGCAACUCGACUCCAUGAAGGAGGAAUCGCUAGUAAUCGCGCAUCAGCACGGCGCGGUGAAUACGUUCCCGGGCCUUGUACACACCGCCCGUCACACCACGAAAGCCAGUUGUACUCGAAGUCGCCGAGCUAACCCGCAAGGGAGGCAGGCGCCGAAGGUAUGACUGGUGAUUGGGGUGAAGUCGUAACAAGGUAAC